rnacentral:rRNA from 1 species
CAGCCGAGCGGUAGAUUACUUUCGGGUAAUUGAGAGCGGCGUACGGGUGCGGAACACGUGUGCAACCUGCCUUUAUCAGGGGGAUAGCCUUUCGAAAGGAAGAUUAAUACCCCAUAAUAUAUUAUUCGGCAUCGGGUGAUAUUGAAAACUACGGUGGAUAGAGAUGGGCACGCGCAAGAUUAGCUAGUUGGUGAGGUAACGGCUCACCAAGGCGACGAUCUUUAGGGGGCCUGAGAGGGUGAUCCCCCACACUGGUACUGAGACACGGACCAGACUCCUACGGGAGGCAGCAGUGAGGAAUAUUGGACAAUGGGUGGAAGCCUGAUCCAGCCAUCCCGCGUGCAGGAAGACGGCCCUAUGGGUUGUAAACUGCUUUUAUCUGGGGAUAAACCUACUUACGUGUAAGUAGCUGAAGGUACCAGAAGAAUAAGCACCGGCUAACUCCGUGCCAGCAGCCGCGGUAAUACGGAGGGUGCAAGCGUUAUCCGGAUUUAUUGGGUUUAAAGGGUCCGUAGGCGGACUGAUAAGUCAGUGGUGAAAUCCGACAGCUUAACUGUCGAACUGCCAUUGAUACUGUUAGUCUUGAGUAAGGUUGAAGUGGCUGGAAUAAGUAGUGUAGCGGUGAAAUGCAUAG